GACGAACGCUGGCGGCGUGCUUAACACAUGCAAGUCGAACGGAAAGGCCCUGCUUUUGUGGGGUGCUCGAGUGGCGAACGGGUGAGUAACACGUGAGUAACCUGCCCUUGACUUUGGGAUAACUUCAGGAAACUGGGGCUAAUACCGCAUAGGAGCUCCUGCUGCAUGGUGGGGGUUGGAAAGUUUCGGCGGUUGGGGAUGGACUCGCGGCUUAUCAGCUUGUUGGUGGGGUAGUGGCUUACCAAGGCUUUGACGGGUAGCCGGCCUGAGAGGGUGACCGGCCACAUUGGGACUGAGAUACGGCCCAGACUCCUACGGGAGGCAGCAGUGGGGAAUAUUGCACAAUGGGCGUAAGCCUGAUGCAGCAACGCCGCGUGCGGGAUGACGGCCUUCGGGUUGUAAACCGCUUUCGCCUGUGACGAAGCGUGAGUGACGGUAAUGGGUAAAGAAGCACCGGCUAACUACGUG
rnacentral:rRNA from 1 species